AUUGAACGCUAGCGGGAUGCCUUACACAUGCAAGUCGAACGGAGUGGCGAACGGGUGAGUAAUGCAUCGGAACGUGCCUAGUAGCGGGGGAUAACUACGCGAAAGCGUAGCUAAUACCGCAUACUAUUGGAGCGGCCGAUAUCGGAUUAGCUAGUUGGUGGGGUAAAGGCUCACCAAGGCGACGAUCCGUAACUGGUUUGAGAGGAAGACCAGCCACACUGGGACUGAGACACGGCCCAGACUCCUACGUGAGGCAGCAGUGGGGAAUUUUGGACAAUGGGGGAAACCCUGAUCCAGCCAUCCCGCGUGUGCGAUGAAGGCCUUCGGAUUGUAAAGCACUUUAGGUAGGGAAGCGGUACCUGCAGAAUAAGCACCGGCUAACUACGUGCCAGCAGCCGCGGUAAUAC
rnacentral:rRNA from 1 species